rnacentral:rRNA from 1 species
AUUGAACGCUGGCGGCAGGCUUAACACAUGCAAGUCGAGCGGGGUGAUGGUGCUUGCACUAUCACUUAGCGGCGGACGGGUGAGUAAUGCUUAGGAAUCUGCCUAUUAGUGGGGGACAACAUCUCGAAAGGGAUGCUAAUACCGCAUACGUCCUACGGGAGAAAGCAGGGGAUCACUUGUGACCUUGCGCUAAUAGAUGAGCCUAAGUCGGAUUAGGUAGUUGGUGGGGUAAAGGCCUACCAAGGCGACGAUCUGUAGCGGGUCUGAGAGGAUGAUCCGCCAGACUGGGACUGAGACACGGCCCAGACUCCUACGGGAGGCAGCAGUGGGGAAUAUUGGACAAGGGGGGGAACCCUGAUCCAGCCAUGCCGCGUGUGUGAAGAAGGCCUUAUGGUUGUAAAGCACUUUAAGCGAGGAGGAGGCUCUUUUGGUUAACACCCAAGAUGAGUGGACGUUACUCGCAGAAUAAGCACCGGCUAACUCUGUGCCAGCCGCCGCAGUAA